rnacentral:rRNA from 1 species
CAGCAGCCGCGGGAAUACGUAGGUGGCAAGCGUUGUCCGGAAUUAUUGGGCGUAAAGGGCUCGCAGGCGGUUUCUUAAGUCUGAUGUGAAAGCCCCCGGCUCAACUGGGGAGGGUCAUUGGAAACUGGGAAACUUGAGUGCAGAAGAGGAGAGUGGAAUUCCACGUGUAGCGGUGAAAUGCGUAGAGAUGUGGAGGAACACCAGUGGCGAAGGCGACUCUCUGGUCUGUAACUGACGCUGAGGAGCGAAAGCGUGGGGAGCGAACAGGAUUAGAUACCCCAGUAGUCCCUGUCUCUUAUAC